AUGUAUAUGCUGAUUCUUAAUCCCAUGAGGUCUUUAAAAAUAGGAUUGGGUACACAUCAGUUUUGGAUAGCAUUGUCUGAACAUAAGGACAUGAGUUUUGUGACCUACCCUUCAGGACCAAUUCCAGUUCCACCAAUUCAGGUUUCCUCUUUUUAUUUCCCUUUAUCAUUAGAUCAUGCCAUUCAUAUUGAUUGCACAGUAGUCUAUUAAGAUUCCUGUGCUGGUUCAGCAAUAAUUUUUCAUUAUUUCCUCUAUUACAGGAGGUAAUGUUAAUUGUGGAUUGAAUACCAGUCAGCUCUUGUAAAUUGACAAUCUUUUUCUUGCCUUGGAAAAUGAUGCAUGCAUUGAAUAAUAAAUAUUAAAUCCUCCAGACA
rnacentral:lncRNA from 1 species